AUUUAGGCGAAUAUGCUAUAUUUAUUAUAGAUACAAACACUUAUUCUGAACUAAUGCAACUAUACGAGUAACCCGCAAAACAUAAUAUGCCCUCAAAUAUUUCAUGCCAACUUUCUUAUAUAGCAUAGAAACUUCAUAGAAAAACAUUUUAACUAAAUAUAAAUAUUUUUAGGAUCCGCAGGCAUACAUACAUUAAUAAACAUAAUAAAGGAAACAUUUAUGUAGGUGAGGUCAUCUUGACCUUCCAUGUAAUUCCAUUGUGCACCUCCUCAGGCGUUUAUCUGCGGUGCAAGGUUUGCUACCGUCUAUUCAGCUAGCUCGUUUGGUCCGCAUUAUGACAUUCACUCAUUUGCUCAUGGAUGUGAUAUUAAUGUUAUUCAUAUGUAUCAACAAGCCAGACGGAUAAGUCCAGAAAUGCUAAGAUUAUACGAGUCGAUGUAUAUAAAAGUGACUGCAUUGAUGUAUUUGUUUGGAAAACGAGCAUCUAUAUAAACACAAAGGCAGUAGAGAAAUUAUGAGGUCAAAUCCAUUGCACCUGUUGUAGAUGUAAGGAGGGCC
rnacentral:lncRNA from 1 species